rnacentral:rRNA from 1 species
GUGCCAGCAGCCGCGGUAAUACAGAGACCUCAAGCGUUAUCCGGAUUUAUUGGGCGUAAAGCGCAGGUAGGCGGUCUAGUUAGUCAGAUGUCAAAGACCGGGGCUCAACCCCGGGAAGGCAUUUGAAACGGCUAGACUAGAGAAUGUGAGAGAUUGCUGGAAUUCAUGGUGUAGUAGUGAAAUGCGUUGAUAUCAUGAGGAACACUCAAGGCGAAGGCAAGCAAUUGGUACAUUUCUGACGCUGAGCUGCGAAAGCGUGGGGAGCGAAUGGGAUUGAUACCCCAGUAGUCC